UUUUAUGUUACUUUAAAAGCCCCCCCCCCCCCCGUCUAAAGUGAAGACAAUAAAUAUGUUGAACCACUUUCAAUCCUAAAAUGGAUUACAGAAUCCAAAAUGCUCAACAACAUUCAACCAAUAACAAAAGUAAAUUUCAUUUUCCAUAACUGGCUGUUUUGAUUGCACGUGACACCACGUGUAGAAAAACCCGUGACAAAGAUUAGCGUCAACAUACCCCAGACGGCCAUAUUGGUGAAACCAAUCCUAGCACCUUUCAGAAGUCACCUUCGAUCCUAGCGUUUGUCACCCUGUCAAGUUCCCGUCAUCCUGGCCAAAGGCGACAGGCCACCAAGUUCCUUUGAAACCGCAUCGCAUGCGGAAUGAAAAUGAAUGAUGCAUUUACACUCGUUUCCUAGCCGAGCCGUGGGUGGGCUAACCCUAACCCGGGGCCACAACAUCCUGGAGUAUUCUCCCCACCCGUCCACCUUUGCUCCAACAGCGUCAGGACUUGAACACACCACACCGCUCAUCAUGUCGAGAUGAGAACCUCAACCGCUGUGGUAUCGAUUAAGAUAUGUGACUGUGAUUAAUCACAUUUGGUCCAUAUUUAACUCACAAUUAAUCACAUUUCAUCACCGGUAUGAAAACGGUUUUGUCAAAGUAGGAUAAGAAGAGUAAAUAUCUUUGUGCUAAAUGUUUCGAUGUGCCACUACCAGGAUAAUUCCAUCCAAUUUUAUAGAAAAGGAUAUCAAUUUCAGAACUAGGAGCCAUUAUUUAAAACGAUAGUCAGCAAGCGUAUUUUUGUAUUACUAUUUUUCUUUAUUAUUAGCAUAUUAGCUCUUAACCGCGCCCACAAACGUGAGUGUGAGCAAUUGAGACCUCUCACUCUGACACAAACAUGUUUUUUUGCUGACACUUUCAGCUCCAAAUAAGAUGAGUUUAUUUAUGAUACUGGGUCAGACGUCAUAUUGGACUGGGUUGGGAUUCAGCCGCCAACCUGGUCGCUAACUGCUGAGCUAAGCUAGCCAUUGCUACUAAUUCAUGAUGAAAGAAGAGGCAUGCGUUCCUCUGUGAAAGGAUCGAGUCAGAGUUUUCACCAGGCCACAAACACGUUUGCUACCAACGUCUGGCUGAGCACCAACCCAGAGACACCCGUGAUGCCACCCAUCCAAACGUUUCUCCGCGGUCAUUCCCUCCACGCUGUGGCACUGGCUAACGCGCUAACGCUAUCUGCAUCCACGGUGGGAGUUUUCCCGUGACGCCUCGGGUCGCUGAAAGUCAAUUUCCGCGUGACGUCUCGGGUCGCUGAAAGUCGAGUCUUCGCGUGACGUCUCGGGUCGCUGAAAGUCGAGUCUUCGCGUGACGUCUCGGGUCGCUGAAAGUCGAGUCUUCGCGUGACGUCUCGGGUCGCUGAAAGUCGAGUCUUCGCGUGACGUCUCGGGUCGUGGAAAGUGGGCAAAGGCCACUCUUAUUUUUGAAGGUGAUGGGCAUGCGUGAAGAAUGUGUGUUCACGGAUAGGAUGAGCAUGCUUGUGGUGUUCUCUCCAGAUGACAACAUUCAUCCACAUGAUGUCACUUUGUGUCCCUUCGACCUUCCUUGGGCUUUUCUCUCGUUCAGGACAAAUAGCACCCAGCAAAAGGAGUCCUGGGACUGGCCCACGUGCGGGUGCAAGCAUAUUGGUAACCCGUUUGUCUUCCUGUGUCAUGCAGAUGUCAGUGAAGAACAUCUUCCCCUUGAGCAGCACGACUGGAGCUCCAUGAUGGGGCAGGAGGAGCCCCGGCCCCCCCACGUUAAAGAGGAAGAGGGUGAACCAGGACAGGAGGAGGUCCCAGUGAUUGGCGUCCUCGUGAAGAGUGAGGAUGAAGAAGAAGCCGAUGGAGACCACUGUGGAGGAUCACCAGCAGACAAGCUCUUAGCUCCACUAUCAGAUAGUGAGCACACAACGUCACACUCUCCUGACACUGAUGAUGAUGAUGAUGAAGACUCUACAGCUGAUAUGACAUGUCACCCUGACAACACACGCUUGAAAUGCCACCACUGUGACAAGAGCUUCCAUUCCCGUUGUUAUCUAAAAAGACACAUGAGGACACACACGGGGGAGAAACCAUUUAUGUGCUCAGUUUGCGGUAAAAGAUUUUCUCAGAAGCCACACUUGCAAGAACACGCUAGGAUACACACUGGGGAGAAACCUUUUGCCUGCUCAGUGUGCAAUAAAAGGUUCACCCAUCGCUCAACUUGGAUAAGACACGCAGGAACGCACGCUGGAGAAAAACCAUAUGCCUGCUCAGUCUGUAAUAAGGAAUUCUUUCAAAAGUCACUUUUGAAAGAACACUCCAAAGUACACACUACAGAGAAACCUUUCGCCUGCACAGUCUGUGGCAAAGGAUUCUUUGACAAUUCACACCUGAAAGAACACUUAAGAACACACACUGGGGAGAAACCUUUUGCCUGCUCAGUGUGUCACCAAACAUUUUCUCAAAAGUCGCAUCUGAAAGAGCACUCCAGAAGACACACCGGGGAGAAACCGUUUGCCUGCUCCGCCUGCCACCAAACCUUCUCUCAAAAGUCGUCUUUGUUAAAACAUAGGAGGAUGCACUCUGGGGAGACACCUUUUCCUUGCACAACGUGCGGUAAAAGAUUCAGUCAUCGGUCUACCUGGCUGAGACAUGCCAGAACGCACACGCAAGAAAAACCGUUCGCCUGUUCAGCCUGUGGGAAAGGAUUCUUUCAGAAGUCACAUUUGGAAGAGCACACGAGGACGCACACCGGGGAGAAACCUUUUUCCUGCUCUGUCUGUCGCCAAACCUUCUCCCAAAAGUCCUAUUUAAUAAUACACGCAAGAACGCACACCGGGGAGAAACCUUUUGUCUGCUCAGUGUGUGAUAAAAGAUUCAGUUACCGCUCAAAUUGGUUAAGACACACGAGAACGCACACUGAAGAGAAACCGUACGCUUGUUCAGUUUGCAACAAAAGAUUCUCUCAAAAUGAAUAUUUGAUAGCGCACCGAAAAACACACAAGGGCGCCAAAGACGGCGUCCAUAAUGGGUUACCUUUGGCGAAACACACGGGCGACCAUAUUGAUGACACUGACCCCUGAGUGUGCUGACGCUGAUUGUAAAGAUGGUGCUGCAUGCGUGGAGACACACAUGCACGUGCUGGGUUGAUGCCUUCAGCUUCCACGGUAGACAUGACUUAAGUGUUCAUGUGAUUUCUUUCCUAAAUGAGGUCAGGGGUCGGCAACCUUUACUAUGAGAGCCAUUUUACCUCGUUGCCCACUAAAGGAGCCGCAAAACAUGGAUUUAAGACAAGGUCUCCUAAAGUCUAAGAAGAGAAUAGAAGUGCAGUGACUGUGCAUGUGUAAGGGAUGCCAACCAGUAGGUUAGCAUGCUAUCAUCUUGAUUCAAAGGGAAUGUGUAAGGGAUGCCAACCAGUAGGUUAGCAUGCUAUCAUCUUGAUUCAAAGGGAAUGUGUAAGGGAUGCCAACCAGUAGGUUAGCAUGCUAUCAUCUUGAUUUAACGAGAAUGUGUAAGGGAUGCCAACCAGUAGGUUAGCAUGCUAUCAUCUUGGUUUAACGGGAAUGUGUAAGGGAUGCCAACCAGUAGGUUAGCAUGCUAUCAUCUUGGUUUAACGAGAAUGUGUAAGGGAUGCCAACCAGUAGGUUAGCAUGCUGUCAUCUUGGUUUAACGAGAAUGUGUAAGGGAUGCCAACCAGUAGGUUAGCAUGCUAUCAUCUUGGUUUAACGAGAAUGUGUAAGGGAUGCCAACCAGUAGGUUAGCAUGCUAUCAUCUUGGUUUAACGAGAAUGUGUAAGGGAUGCCAACCAGUAGGUUAGCAUGCUAUCAUCUUGAUUCAAAGGGAAUGUGUAAGGGAUGCCAACCAGUAGGUUAGCAUGCUAUCAUCUUGAUUCAAAGGGAAUGUGUAAGGGAUGCCAACCAGUAGGUUAGCAUGCUAUCAUCUUGAUUCAAAGGGAAUGUGUAAGGGAUGCCAACCAGUAGGUUAGCAUGCUAUCAUCUUGGUUUAACGAGAAUGUGUAAGGGAUGCCAACCAGUAGGUUAGCAUGCUAUCAUCUUGAUUCAACAAGAAUGUGUAAGGGAUGCCAACCAGUAGGUUAGCAUGCUAUCAUCUUGAUUCAAAGGGAAUGUGUAAGGGAUGCCAACCAGUAGGUUAGCAUGCUAUCAUCUUGAUUCAAAGGGAAUGUGUAAGGGAUGCCAACCAGUAGGUUAGCAUGCUAUCAUCUUGGUUAAACCAAGAUUCUUUUAGCUGGUGACCAACAGCUGGGAUGAGAUCACAUGUUGAGCCGAUUGAGGCUCCCAUGGUCAAAUUUGGGGGUAUCAAAGUAGUUCAGAUAAGAAAAGACAAGUUGUAGUACUCUUGCUAGUAUUGGAGAUAAACUUCCAUAAAUGUAUGUGCCAAUUACUUACUUACUUCAACUUACAUGAUUCGUUUGCUCUGCUGUUUUUUUUUAAACGAUCUGUCAUGUAUUUUUGAGAAAUGUCAAAACGCUCUAGGAAAGUACAACGUUUGUCCUCCAUGUUUACCUGAGAGGGAGAGAACGGAAUAUCAUCCAAUCACCAGUCAGAACUCAGCCAGGAUGCCUUCAUGGUCCUGCAGAAAGUAGGAUUGUUUUUUAAGCUCAUUACAAAAAUGUGCAUUUUCCCUACUCGGGUGUUAAAAAAAAAGUUUAAGCAUUGCAAAGGGAGCCACAUGCGGCUCUGGAGCCAUGGUUUGCUGACCCCUGA